rnacentral:rRNA from 1 species
ACCUUGCGCUGAUUGAGCGGCCGAUAUCAGUAUUAGCUAGUUGGUGAGGUAAAGGCUCACCGAGGCGACGAUCUGUAGGCGGGUCUGAGAGGAUGAUCCGCCACACGUGGAACUGAGACACGGUCCAGACUCCGUACGGGGAGGCAGCAGGUGGGGAAUUUUUGGACAAUGGGCGCAAGCCUGAUCCAGCCAUGCCGCGUGAGUGAAGAAGGCCUUCGGGUUGUAAAGCUCUUUCAGCCGGGAAGAAAACGCAUGGGUUAAUACCCUGUGUGGAUGACGGCACCGGAAUAAGAAGCACCGGCUAACUACGUG